CAUUAGAUUACUAAAAGCUAGUACUGGUCUCUUAAACCAUUUAUAGUAGAUUAGCGCCUACUUCUCAUGA
rnacentral:tRNA from 1 species